CAUGAGAACUGAUUUGCAAACCUGAGGUAUCGGAAUCUUAAAUUAUUCUGUUUAUUAUUGAUGAAUAGAAAACCAUUGUAUUAACAUUCCCUUAUUUUUAUUUAAGAUUUAAGAUUGACUGAAAAUGAAAGUUGUUAAGCUCUUCAGAUAUGCAACAGCUUCAUUUCCCAAACAAAGAAAAACUUCAAAUUCUCGUAAAAUCUGAUGUUUUCUGCCCAGCUACAGCUUCCCCUUGGUAAUUUGCUUUCGUGUAUGACUGGAAGGUCCUGGUUUCAUGUUCCCUGUUCUCAAAGGAGUGUGUCAAAAUCCCCUUCCCAUUCUGGCCUUGUGCCACUGUUUAUCCACAGGCACUGGCAUAUGCAAUGGGUGCUGUAUUGAAUGGAGCUCCUCAUGUUUUCCCCACAAAAAGCGAUCUGCUGAUUCACCUUGAACUCCGCCCAGGGGAUGAGUGCGAUAACUUUAAUAUACUGUGCUGUCCCACAACAACAAGGACUAUAUGCAAUGGAAAGAGUAACAUGAAAGAAUGGAGAGGGAAAGACUGUGUUUCAUGAAAACAAGAACCUGCUGUGAAGACAGAUGUUCAACUACUGAAGUCGAGAGACGAUCACAGAUAGUAGAUUGCAUGCUGAGUGGUGCUGAAGGGUUGUCAGUGAAGAUACACAUGUUGAGGACUUUGAAUAGCUCUCCCUGGCUCUCUCAGUGCCAGAAGCCUCCUUUUGACAAAUCUGCAUCACAUUUGAAGGAACAGCAAGGAAAAGUACCUUACCCAGUCAAUCUCUCCUGGGACAUGUCACACUCAUGGGAAGACACAGAGUUUGUUCAUUUGAGGUGGUCAUGGCUUGAGGUUGACCUGAUGUUACCUGUGUGGUUUCUGUAGCUUUAGUCACUCAGUACAAUAAAAGGCUCACUAAAAUUUUGAAUCUUGACUGUCAGGCUGUACCUUUUCUUUCUCAAAUGAUACCAAUGCACAGAGAACAAUGCUAGAGUCACAGAAUUUCUUCUGUCCAGGGUAAAUGUUCAGUCUAGGGACAAAGUUAGGGCACAAAAUCCCCUUGUCUGUUGUAGUGAAAAAGCUUAUAUCCUUCCUACUUGCUUAAAAUUAUGAUACAGAUGUUGUGGUACUUUCCUUAGUAAUCGUAUAUAUGGUAGAUCAUUACAACAGUUUUAGGAAAAACCAAAGUUUCAAUUGCUUCUCCUAGUUUAUGUUUUUGCAGUUUCUAAAUUUUUUGAACUGGAAAUAGUUAAGUCAGCUCUCACUUUAGUUUGCAGUCUUGUCUGUGUGCUCUGCAGUAGGCACUGAGGCUGACAAACAGUUCUGAAAAACUAGAUGAGGAGAUUAAUUUGCUAAUGAUUUAUUAACAUAU